UUGGCCAUGGUGUAUGGUGCAUUGCCCCUUCAGAUUCCCAACCGUCAAGGAAUUCCGGGGCAGGACGGGGUUCGAUUCCCUGUGUCUGAU